rnacentral:rRNA from 1 species
CUACGGGACGCUGCAGUGGGGAAUAUUGCACAAUGGGCGCAAGCCUGAUGCAGCCAUGCCGCGUGUAUGAAGAAGGCCUUCGGGUUGUAAAGUACUUUCAGCGGGGAGGAAGGGAGUAAAGUUAAUACCUUUGCUCAUUGACGUUACCCGCAGAAGAAGCACCGGCGAGACUCCGUGCCAGCAGCCGCGGUAAUACGGAGGGUGCAAGCGUUAAUCGGAAUUACUGGGCGUAAAGCGCACGCAGGCGGUUUGUUAAGUCAGAUGUGAAAUCCCCGGGCUCAACCUGGGAACUGCAUCUGAUACUGGCAAGCUUGAGUCUCGUAGAGGGGGGUAGAAUUCCAGGUGUAGCGGUGAAAUGCGUAGAGAUCUGGAGGAAUACCGGUGGCGAAGGCGGCCCCCUGGACGAAGACUGACGCUCAGGUGCGAAAGCGUGGGGAGCAAACAGGAUUAGAUACCCUCGUAGUC